CCUACGGGUGGCAACAGUGGGGAAUAUUGCACAAUGGGGGAAACCCUGAUGCAGCGACGUCGCGGGAGUGCUGAAGUAUUUCGGUAUGUAAAGCUCUAUCCGCAGGGAAGAAAAUGACGGUACCUGACUAAGAAGCCCCGGCUAACUACGUGCCAGCAGCCGCGGUUAUACGUAGGGGGCAAGCGUUAUCCGGAUUUACUGGGUGUAAAGGGUGCGUAGACGGGGGUGCAAGCCAGAUGUGAAAGCCCGGGGCCCAAACCCGGGACUGCAUUUGGAAUUGGGCUGCUAGAGUGUCGGAGAGGCAGGCGGAAUUCCUAGUGGAGCGGUGAAAUGCGUAGAUAUUAGGAGGAACACCAGUGGCGAAGGCGGCCUGCUGGACGAUGACUGACGUUGAGGCACGAAAGCGUGGGGAGUAAACAGGAUUAGAUACCCCUGUAGUC
rnacentral:rRNA from 1 species